rnacentral:rRNA from 1 species
AUUGAACGCUGGCGGAAUGCUUUACACAUGCAAGUCGAACGGCAGCACGGGAGCUUGCUCCUGGUGGCGAGUGGCGAACGGGUGAGUAACAUAUCGGAACGUACCCAGUGGUGGGGGAUAACACAUCGAAAGAUGUGCUAAUACCGCAUACGACCUGAGGGUGAAAGGGGGGGAUCGCAAGACCUCUCGCCGUUGGAGCGGCCGAUAUCGGAUUAGCUAGUUGGUGAGGUAAAGGCUCACCAAGGCGACGAUCCGUAGCUGGUCUGAGAGGAUGAGCAGCCACACUGGGACUGAGACACGGCCCAGACUCCUACGGGAGGCAGCAGUGGGGAAUUUUGGACAAUGGGGGCAACCCUGAUCCAGCCAUUCCGCGUGAGUGAAGAAGGCCUUCGGGUUGUAAAGCUCUUUCGGCAGGAACGAAACGGUGGAUCCUAAUACGGUCUGCUAAUGACGGUACCUGAAGAAGAAGCACCGGCUAACUACGUGCCAGCAGCCGCAGUAA